rnacentral:rRNA from 1 species
AUGCGGAACGGGGAAAAGGAGCAACUUUGCUGCCCGGCAAAGCGUGCUGUGCUGCGACACAUGCGUCCAUGUGAUGCCAUCUGCCCAACCAACCAUCACCAACUGUUACUGUGGUGCAGCGUGCAGAGAACAAGAUCCAUGGAUGGACAACUCCAACCAGACACUGCUGGCAUAUGUGUACUGCAACUGCAAGCAAUAAUAUGUAAACACUGGAACAGCAAGGUAGUGUGCAACAAUCUGUCAUCAUCAAGCUCAAGGAACCAUAAUACCAUUUGCAGAUCGACAGCAACGGCUAGUGAAAGAAGAAGAAAGAAACUAGUGGUGCUCGCAUUUCAUUUCACAUCAUGA